GAUGAACGCUGGCGGCGUGCCUAAUACAUGCAAGUCGAGCGAGAAUCUCUUCAGAAGCGUUUUCGGACAAUUCCGAGGAGAGGAAAGCGGCGGACGGGUGAGUAACGCGUAGGCAACCUGCCCUUAGCAGAGGGAUAGCCAUUGGAAACGAUGAUUAAAACCUCAUAAUGCCAUCUUUACACAUGUUUAGAUGGCCAAAGAUUUAUCGGCUAAGGAUGGGCCUGCGUCUGAUUAACUAGUUGGUGAGGUAACGGCCCACCAAGGUGACGAUCAGUAGCCGACCUGAGAGGGUGAUCGGCCACAUUGGAACGGAGACUCGGUCCAAACUUCUACGGAAGGCAGCAGUAAGGAAUCUUGCACAAUGGGGGAAACCCUGAUGCAGCAACGCCGCGUGAACGAUGAAGGCCCUAGGGUUGUAAAGUUCUGAUCUGUGGGAAGAAGAAAGUGACGGUACCACAGGAGAAAGCCCCGGCUUACUACGUGCCAGCAGCCGCCGUAAUAC
rnacentral:rRNA from 1 species